rnacentral:rRNA from 1 species
AGCGAACGCUGGCGGCAGGCCUAACACAUGCAAGUCGAACGAACCUUUCGGGGUUAGUGGCGGACGGGUGAGUAACACGUGGGAACGUGCCUUUAGGUUCGGAAUAACUCAGGGAAACUUGUGCUAAUACCGAAUGUGCCCUUCGGGGGAAAGAUUUAUCGCCUUUAGAGCGGCCCGCGUCUGAUUAGCUAGUUGGUUGAGGUAAUGGCUCAGCAAGGCGACGAUCAGUAGCUGGUCUGAGAGGAUGAUCAGCCACAUUGGGACUGAGACACGGCCCAAACUCCUACGGGAGGCAGCAGUGGGAAAUCUUGCGCAAUGGGCGAAAGCCUGACGCAGCCAUGCCGCGUGAAUGAUGAAGGUCUUAGGAUUGUAAAAUUCUUUCACCGGGGACGAUAAUGACGGUACCCGGAGAAGAAGCCCCGGCUAACUUCGUG